AAAAAUAUAAAUAGUCUAGCACCAAAGCAGUCAUUAUGGUGAUCUCAGGUUUGAGGGAUACUUAUGCCCAUAUAUUUUAUGAGCUCUCUUGACAGCAGAGUACUCCACAAAUGAGUCACUUAUUCAGUGAUGAUGUACCCUUACUUCUCAUCUGUAUGCCAUAUCAGUGUCUCCACACUCUUUGAUUACAAAGACAACCAAUAUAUAUGGCACACAAUAACCUAUACUCA
rnacentral:lncRNA from 1 species